rnacentral:rRNA from 1 species
UCCGUAGGUGAACCUGCGGAAGGAUCAUUAACGAAUCAAACAA